ACGGCCUCGACCUAUUCUCGAACUCCGAACGGGCAAGGAGCCGGGGUCGCCCGAUCGGACCCCGGACGUGAAGUCGACGAUGGUCGGUGGGCUGGUUUUGGUAAGCAGAACGGGCGAUUCGGGAUGAACCGGAAGCGGGGAGAAAGGGCCCGAGAUUGCGUCGACGCGGAUCCCGAAAAGGGCGUCGAUCCGUCGCGACAGCGGGACGGUGGUCAUGGAAGUCGAAAUCCGCUAAGAAGCGUGUAAAAACGUACCCGCCCAACGGAUCGGCCCCGAAAAUUGAUGGCGCUCGAACGCAACCCUCGAACCCCGCCGACGGAGGCUAGGGGAGGCCCCGUCGAGUAGGCGGACGCGCGGGUCGCUUCGACGCUCCCGCGCGAGCGGGGGCGGAGCGGCCCGUGGUGCAGAUCUUGGUGGUAGUAGCGAUCACCCAGGCGAGAACCCUGAGGGCCGAAGUGGAGAAGGGUUUCUCGAGAACGGCACUCGCUCGAGAGUUAGUCGAUCCUAAGCUGCCGGCGGCAGCCACGAAACGGUCGAUCGGGCGCGAGCCC
rnacentral:rRNA from 1 species